CACGUAGGGCGCAAGCGUUGUCCGGAAUUAUUGGGCGUAAAGAGCUCGUAGGCGGUCUGUCGCGUCCGCUGUGAAAACUCGGGGCUUAACCCCGAGCCUGCAGUGGAUACGGGCAGACUAGAGGUAGGUAGGGGAGAAUGGAAUUCCCGGUGUAGCGGUGAAAUGCGCAGAUAUCGGGAGGAACACCGGUGGCGAAGGCGGCUAUCUGGACCGUAACUGACGCUGAGGCGCGAAAGCGUGGGGAGCAAACAGG
rnacentral:rRNA from 1 species